UUUCGAUAUGAAGGCUUGUUUUCAAUUCUUCUGUUUGCUUUCAGUGGGACAAUUGCUCGGAGUGAUAUAGCAAAUUGCGUUCUUGAUUACAAUCCAAUUUGUGUUGUACAUGAGGAUUGCGGUUUCACACUGAAUAGCAAAUGCUUGUUAGACUUGCAUAAAAAUGUUUUUUACCAUAAAAACCAAGCGACUUUUGAAUCAUUUAUAAGCGGACCCUGUCCGAAGGAUAAACAAAAGUGCCCAUACAAAAAUUAUUUAUCAGGA
rnacentral:sRNA from 1 species